rnacentral:miRNA from 1 species
ACCACAAAAAAUACUCAAAAGACACAAAACUUUCGAAAUAUAUUUGGAAAGUUUUGUGUCUUUUGAGUAUUUUUUGUGGU